GCCGAACGCUGGCGGCGUGCUUAACACAUGCAAGUCGAACGAAGUGGCGAACGGGUGAGUAACGCGUAAUCAACCUGCCCUUCAGAGGGGGACAACAGGUGGAAACGACUGCUAAUACCGCAUACUGAAGGAGGGGAUUGCGUCUGAUUAGCUAGGUGGAGGGGUAACGGCCCACCAGGGCGAUGAUCAGUAGCCGGUCUGAGAGGAUGAACGGCAAAAUUGGGACUGAGACACGGCCCAGACGCCUACGGGAGGAAGCAGGGGGGAAUGUUCGGCAAUGGACGAAAGUCUGACGGAGCAACGCCGCGUGAGUGAGGACGGCCUUCGGGUUGUAAAGCUCUGUGAAUCGGGACGCGGUACCGGAAUAGAAAGCCACGGCUAACUACGUGCCAGCAGCCGCGGGAAUAC
rnacentral:rRNA from 1 species